CUCAACUUCCAAGUUGGCAACUAACUCGAAAUCCUCUGGUUCUGUUUUGCCCCAAUUUUUGAAUUUAACAGAUGGGAAAGUUGAUGAAGAUUCACUGGAUUUAAAAGAGUAGGGCUUGGGAAAGGAAAAUGACUGGGGGUUGGUCUGGCCCUCUGCGCUGACUUAGAUAAAAACUUGGGGAAUUUUUUUUAAAUGGUAAAGUUCGGAUAUAGUAGUGUGUGGUUCUCUCUUGGAAUAUUUUUCAGGUGAUUUAAUAAAACUUAAUACUACUAUAGGAGCUUCAGAACAAAGGAGGUGGCUUAAUGAUCCUGAAGGGAUUUCUUCUGGUGGUAGCUUUUGUAUUAUCAAUGAGGUCCAGCCUAUCUCCGUCAGUCCCUGGUGAGAACUUGUUCUAUAUACAGGCUCCAAUGUGGUGAAUCAACUUCCAUUGUCAAUUUUGUGCUGCAUUUAAGUGAGCUGCUGCUCCUGAUGAUUUUCCUGCUGCAAGCUUCCUUUGGAUCUGGAUUGAAGAUAGUACUUCUAACAGAGAUCAUCUCUCCUCACUAACAAUUACGUGGACAAGUCUAAAAUGAAACAGCUUUCGGCUUCCGUGGUGGCUCAGUGGUGAAAUGACUUGGGGUAAGAAGCGACUGAACAUUGAAGUGUCACAUGAAACUCUCCCUUUUCCACUCAGCACUAAUGAAAAUAUUUGCCUUCUACUUAACUAACAGGUCUUUUCUUUAAAACUUGCUGAACUUGUUUUUUAACUUAGUGACUUCAGUGCAG
ensembl:lncRNA